rnacentral:rRNA from 1 species
GGAUCCAGACUUUGAUUAUGGCUCAGAACGAACGCUGGCGGCAGGCCUAACACAUGCAAGUCGAGCGCGCCCUUCGGGGUGAGCGGCGGACGGGUUAGUAACGCGUGGGAACGUGCCCUUUGGUACGGAAUAGCCUCUGGAAACGGAGAGUAAUACCGUAUGAGCCCUUCGGGGGAAAGAUUUAUCGCCAAAGGAUCGGCCCGCGUUAGAUUAGGUAGUUGGUGGGGUAAUGGCCUACCAAGCCUACGAUCUAUAGCUGGUUUUAGAGGAUGAUCAGCAACACUGGGACUGAGACACGGCCCAGACUCCUACGGGAGGCAGCAGUGGGGAAUCUUGGACAAUGGGGGCAACCCUGAUCCAGCCAUGCCGCGUGAGUGAUGAAGGCCUUAGGGUCGUAAAGCUCUUUCGCCUGUGAAGAUAAUGACGGUAGCAGGUAAAGAAACCCCGGCUAACUCCGUGCCAGCAGCCGCGGUAAU